rnacentral:rRNA from 1 species
AUUGAACGCUGGCGGCAUGCCUUACACAUGCAAGUCGAACGGUAACGCGGGGGCAACCCUGGCGACGAGUGGCGAACGGGUGAGUAAUACAUCGGAACGUGUCCUGUUGUGGGGGAUAACCCAUCGAAAGGUGAGCUAAUACCGCAUGAUCUGGAGACAGCAAAGCAGGGGACCGGAAACGGCCUUGCGCGAUUGGAGCGGCCGAUGUCCGAUUAGCUAGUUGGCGGGGUAAAGGCCCACCAAGGCAACGAUCGGUAGCUGGUCUGAGAGGAUGAUCAGCCACACUGGGACUGAGAUACGGCCAGACUCCUACGGGAGCAGCAGUCGAGAGGCUUCGGCAAGUCGGGGGAAACCCUGACCGAGCGACGCCGCGUGGAGGAUGAA